rnacentral:tRNA from 2 species
GCGCCCGUAGCUCAGCUGGAUAGAGCGUCGCCCUCCGAAGGCGAAGGUCAGGGGUUCGAAUCCCUUCGGGCGCGCCA